rnacentral:rRNA from 1 species
AUGCGUUGAGCUAACUGGUACUAAUGAACCGUGAGGCUUAACCUUACAACGCCGAAUGUGUUU